rnacentral:rRNA from 1 species
UGGGGAAUCUUGCACAAUGGGGGCAACCCUGAUGCAGCGACGCCGCGUGAGCGAUGAAGGUUUUCGAAUCGUAAAGCUCUGUCCUAUGGGAAGAUAAUGACGGUACCAUAGGAGGAAGCCCCGACUAACUACGUGCCAGCAGCCGCGGUAAUACGUAGGGGGCGAGCGUUGUCCGGAAUUACUGGGCGUAAAGGGUUCGCAGGCGGCAUGGCAAGUCCGAUGUAAAAGGCGAAGGCUCAACCUUCGUAAGCAUCGGAAACUGUCAAGCUUGAGUGAAGGAGAGGCAAGUGGAAUUCCUAGUGUAGCGGUGGAAUGCGUAGAUAUUAGGAGGAAUACCGGUGGCGAAGGCGACUUGCUGGACUUCAACUGACGCUGAGGAACGAAAGCGUGGGUAGCAAACAGG